rnacentral:rRNA from 1 species
GACGAACGCUGGCGGCGUGCCUAAUACAUGCAAGUAGAACGCUGAAGAGAGGAGCUUGCUCUUCUUGGAUGAGUUGCGAACGGGUGAGUAACGCGUAGGUAACCUGCCUUGUAGCGGGGGAUAACUAUUGGAAACGAUAGCUAAUACCGCAUAACAAUGGAUGACACAUGUCAUUUAUUUGAAAGGGGCAAUUGCUCCACUACAAGAUGGACCUGCGUUGUAUUAGCUUGUAGGUGAGGUAAUGGCUCACCUAGGCGACGAUACAUAGCCGACCUGAGAGGGUGAUCGGCCACACUGGGACUGAGACACGGCCCAGACUCCUACGGGAGGCAGCAGUAGGGAAUCUUCGGCAAUGGGGGCAACCCUGACCGAGCAACGCCGCGUGAGUGAAGAAGGUUUUCGGAUCGUAAAGCUCUGUUGUAAGUCAAGAACGGGCGUGAGAGUGGAAAGUUCACACUGUGACGGUAGCUUACCAGAAAGGGACGGCUAACUACGUG